GUAGGGAAUCUUCGACAAUGGGGGCAACCCUGACCGAGCAACGCCGCGUGAGUGAAGAAGGUUUUCGGACCGUAAAACUCUGUUGUUAGAGAAGAACGUUAAGUAGAGUGGAAAAUUACUUAAGUGACGGUAUCUAACCAGAAAGGGACGGCUAACUACGUGCCAGCAGCCGCGGUAAUACGUAGGUCCCAAGCGUUGUCCGGAUUUAUUGGGCGUAACGCGAGCGCAGGUGGUUUCUUAAGUCUGAUGUAAAAGGCAGUGGCUCAACCAUUGUGUGCAUUGGAAACUGGUAGACUUGAGUGCAGGAGAGGAGAGUGGAAUUCCAUGUGUAGCGGUGAAAUGCGUAGAUAUAUGGAGGAACACCGGUGGCGAAAGCGGCUCUCUGGCCUGUAACUGACACUGAGGCUCGAAAGCGUGGGGAGCAAACAGGAUUAGAUACCCUAGUAGUCC
rnacentral:rRNA from 1 species